rnacentral:rRNA from 1 species
UACGUAGGGUGCGAGCGUUGUCCGGAAUUAUUGGGCGUAAAGAGCUUGUAGGCGGUUUGUCGCGUCUGCUGUGAAAAUCCGGGGCUCAACCCCGGACUUGCAGUGGGUACGGGCAGACUAGAGUGUGGUAGGGGAGACUGGAAUUCCUGGUGUAGCGGUGAAAUGCGCAGAUAUCAGGAGGAACGACCGAUGGCGAAGGCAGGUCUCUGGGCCACUACUGAC